rnacentral:misc_RNA from 1 species
AAGUCGUAACAAGGUUUCCGUAGGUGAACCUGCGGAAGGAUCAUUAUUCUCUCGAAUAACGAGUCGGGGGUUUAAACAGUAGCCUGCUGCUGUUUUCCCUGCCUGUAUCCUUGACUUUUGAGUACUUGUCGUUUCCUCGGCGGAUUUCUCUGCCGAAUGGAUACCAACAACAUCUUUUUGCAAUUGCAGUCAGCGUCUGAAUGAGAUAUUUAAUAUUUACAACUUUCAACAACGGAUCUCUUGGUUCUG